rnacentral:rRNA from 1 species
AUUAGUGGUUAAGAAUGAUGGAAACACCUCUUCCCAUCCCGAACAGAGAAGUUAAGCAUCAUUUCGCCGAUGGUACUGCGAAAGUGGGAGAGUAGGUUUCUGCGAAUU